rnacentral:misc_RNA from 1 species
UCUCCGUUGGUGAACCAGCGGAGGGAUCAUUACUGGAAUCGCAAGAUCCCACAACCCCUGUGAACCUACCGAAACGUUGCCUCGGCGGGCGCCCGGCCCCGCGCCGGGCGCUGAGCCCGCCGGCGGCCCCCUACUCUUGUCUCUGCAGCCUGGCAUCUCGGAGUCCCAGAAAACAAGUAAAAACUUUCAACAACGGAUCUCUUGGCUCUA